CAUUUUGGAAAUGUGUCCAAAGACUUUUCUGUGGGAAGGACAUUAUCACAGGGGCAAGAGACACCCAGACAUAAGUUUUUCAUGACUGUGCCAUGGCAAUUUACAGGAUAGAUAACUGUACAACCAUAAGCAGGACCUGAGUUUGGUUUGCAGUACCCACAAAUGGUGUGUAGUCCAGCUACAGGAGAUCCGAUACCAUCUUAUGGCCUCCAUGUGUACUUGCAUGUGGCAUAUACACUCACACACAUAAAUAAAAAAUAAAAAUUUUUAUCUAAAA